CAAUCAGCGGCGGUCCGAGAGAGUCCGCCGCGCGUCUCUCAGCCAAUGAGAGGCGAGAACUGCAGACGGGGCCGCAGGAUGCGUUUAAGUUCAGUCGGCCACCUCCGAGGUUUGUCCACAGCAGAGGGGCAGCCGGCAGCAGCAAUAAGUGUAUGCAAGUCUCACUUAUUGUUCAGCGCUUUGAUGGCUUCCUGCAUCUGGAGAUAUUCAGCUGCCUUGAAGACGUCAUAGGCCUCCUCUUCACCGGCUACAGCUAGUGUGGCUGUGUAAGUGAACUCCAUCAGCUGGCUGAAGGCGGUGUUGCUCACUCCUGUUACGACAAAGCAGAAGUGAAUGCUAGUAAAACGCAGAAUACCUUCUAUCUCUACCAGUGGCUCCUGCGUAAAAUCCUGGAAGAACUUGUGGAAAAACUGACUGCAUGCUGCCAACACCGCUUUAUGGGCUCUGAACUGGUGUCCUGCAAAAGACAAACAUGGAAAUAGGAGGUGCUGCUAAGGCAUUUCACAAAGACAUUGCAAAACGACAGACAGUGCACGAC